UGGAACUAGAGAGCAUUAUGCUAAGUGAAAUAAGCCAGAAAAAGACAAAUACCCUACAAUCUCCUUUAUAUGUGGAACCUGAAAAAAACAAAAAAAA